CACGUAGGGGGCAAGCGUUGUCCGGAUUCAUUGGGCGUAAAGAGCUCGUAGGCGGUUCGAUAAGUCGGGUGUGAAACCUCCAGGCUCAACCUGGAGACGCCACCCGAUACUGUCGUGACUAGAGUCCAGUAGGGGAGCGUGGAAUUCCUGGUGUAGCGGUGAAAUGCGUAGAGAUCAGGAAGAACAUCGGUGGCGAAGGCGCUCUGCUGGACCAUAACUGACACUCAGGGACGAAAGCUAGGGGAGCGAAUGGG
rnacentral:rRNA from 1 species